ACUUUUUGGUUUUGUAAUUGGAAUGAGUUAAGUAUAAACCCCUUUACAAGUAUCAAUUGGAGGGCAAGUCUGGUGCCAGCAGCCGCGGUAAUUCCAGCUCCAAUAGCGUAUAUUAAAGUUGUUGCAGUUAAAAAGCUCGUAGUUGGAUUUCUGUUAAUAAUUUAUAUAAUAUAUUUUGAUAGAUAUUUAUAUAAUAUUAACAUAAUUCAUAUUACUAUUUUUUUUUAGUAUAUGAAAUUUUA
rnacentral:rRNA from 1 species